AAAGGCUGUGACUUCCCUCCCCUAAGCCCUUUCAUGUGUAUCUCUAGGCAGUUUGGACCUAUUCAGCUGAUACAUUUGGCUGCAGAUUUCACGAUCCUAAAAGGAUAUAAAAGUUGUAUUUCACUGAGUACAUUAAGGGCAGCUCAAUUCCUCGGUCUAACUUCCAGCAAAAUGUAAAUCUGAAAGACAGGAGUUCCUAGGAUCUAAGACUUCAGUAGAGAAGGUAAGGGAGCAAUUCUCUGUGCUGCCUGGGAAACCCCCAAUCUAGCUUUGACAGGAACCAAUAACUGGAAGACUCCCCAAAGUCGCAUUCUCUUUAUGGCAGAGGCUCCCAACAGAAUCCAAGUACAAUAGUCAUUUGAUGAGUAAUCUCUGGCCAAGUGAGAAGAUGGCUACCAGAUGCACAGCAACUCAAGCUAAUUUUCAUCCUCACUCCACGACUAUCACACGAAUGGAAAAAACCUGAGAUGCGCAGAUCCAUUCUGGUCAAGUUAGAGGAAAGGAGGGAAUCCAGGACAUGAAUGUUUAGGCUAAAGCUUAAAAGUGUGAAAUGGACUUAAAUCCUGUAGAGAAUUGUCUUCUUUGAGUAAAGCACUCUUUUCUGACAAGAAAUGUAAGAAAGCCAAUGGUCUAGAUUUUAUAACUUUUUAAAAGUAAGCUGUCUUUAAUUUCAGAAAAUCUGCUAUUAUACAACAAAUUAUUUUUUCAUUCAUAAAAAACAGUCCACAGCAUUCAUAAAACAGGGUACUUUAAUCGGUGUUCACAAAGAAGACCACAAAAGUACUGAAAAAAUGCUAGCCUUACAUAUACCACCAAAAAAAAAAAAAGAGAGAGAAAGAAAUUAACAAUCCCCAUCUACAACUAGGCUAAUCAUAGGUUUUCCCUUAUAGAGACAGACACAGAAAAGUAACUUUUUACAAGCUUAGUUUUGAGGUACAAUGCCUUAGAGCUCUCAACUGGGGUGUUUCCUGCUCAUGCUCUUUUCACUAUAAACAAAUGUGGUUUAUGAAGUGGAAUACAUACUUGAAAAAUUCCUUAAAAAAGAAUCACAAGUUUCAUUUUAUAUAUACAACAAAUUUUUAAUUAUGUACUGAAAAUAAAUUACAGGAAAUAACUUUAAAAUGC
rnacentral:lncRNA from 1 species